AUGCAAGUCGAGGGGUAACGGAAGUAGCUUGCUACUAGACGACGACCGGCGCACGGGUGAGUAACGCGUAUGUAAUCUGCCUUGUACAGAGGGAUAGCCCAGAGAAAUCUGGAUUAAUACCUCAUAGUAUUACUGGAUCGCAUGAUUUGGUAAUUAAAGCUCCGGCGGUACAAGAUGAACAUGCGUGACAUUAGCUAGUUGGUAAGGUAACGGCUUACCAAGGCUACGAUGUCUAGGGGUUCUGAGAGGAUGAUCCCCCACACUGGUACUGAGACACGGACCAGACUCCUACGGGAGGCAGCAGUGAGGAAUAUUGGUCAAUGGACGCAAGUCUGAACCAGCCAUCCCGCGUGAAGGAUGACUGCCCUAUGGGUUGUAAACUUCUUUUAUAUGCAAAUAAACCUACUUUCGUGAAAGUAGCUGAAGGUAGCAUAUGAAUAAACACCGGCUAACUCCGUGCCAGCAGCCGCGGUAAUACGGAGGGUGUAAGCGUUAUCCGGAUUUAUUGGGUUUAAAGGGUACGUANGCGGUAAUAUAAGUCAGUGGUGAAAUCCUG
rnacentral:rRNA from 1 species